GAGUUUGAUCCUGGCUCAGGCACGAGCGCUGGCGGCGUGCUUAACACAUGCAAGUCAAGGGGAAAGUUUCUUUCGGGAAACGAGUAUACUGGCGCACGGGUGAGUAAUAUGUAAGUAACCUACCCAUGGGACAUGGAUAACCUCGAGAAAUCGGGGCUAAUACACGAUAAUGCAGCGGCACCGCAUGGUGAUGUUGUUAAAGUUUUAGCGCCUAUGGAUGGGCUUGCAUUAGAUUAGCUUGUUGGUAAGGUAAAGGCUUACCAAGGCUACGAUCUAUAACUGGUCUGAGAGGAUGAUCAGUCACACUGGAACUGAGACACGGUCCAGACUCCUACGGGAGGCAGCAGUGAGGAAUAUUGGGCAAUGGGCGAAAGCCUGACCCAGCAACGCCGCGUGGAGGAUGAAUGCCGUAAGGUUGUAAACUCCUUUAGGGCGGGACGAAAAACCAUUGGGAAUUGACUGUACCACCAGAAUAAGCCCCGGCUAACUACGUGCCAGCAGCCGCGGUAAUACGUAGGGGGCAAGCGUUGUCCGGAUUUACUGGGUGUAAAGGGCGCGUAGGCGGGCUUGUAAGUCAGAGGUGAAAUCCUGCGGCUCAACCGUAGAACUGCCUUUGAAACUACAAGUCUUGAGUUCGGAAGAGAGAGAUGGAAUUCCAGUGU
rnacentral:rRNA from 1 species